rnacentral:lncRNA from 1 species
GAAGUAAGGGAGCCUCCAACGUCUCCCGGCGUCCCCCGCAAAGUCCUGGACGCUCCGUCCAGAAUUCUCCAACUCCGGCUGACCCAUUUCCUCAGGUCCAGCCGGAACAGUUCAAUGCCUUAGUACAGCAAGUCCAGGCCCUGGCCGCCGCCGUUCAGGGCCUGCGACGCGAGGAAGCUUUACCAACGCUUCCCCCGCGGGCCCAGGUCCCGCCGGAAUUUCCUCCCAACGGCCCGGUUCUCCC